rnacentral:lncRNA from 1 species
CGCCGUUAGGUUUUUUGACGUCCUAAAUCCAUUUAUGGCCUCCAUGUUCCGAAAGUUAACUGUUAUGAUAGAGUUUUAUUAAUUGGUCCCUUUAUGUGCUUAGGUGCAAUUGUUUAUGGCAUUUUCGUCUUCGCUAGUUUGCAUGGCUCUUCGACAGAGAAAUAUCUGUGAGUGGAACCUUCCAAAAUGCAUGAUUUUACUAUCGAAAAACCUAUUACAUAUUACAAUAUUGAGUUUUCCUAAACCCUUUUCAUAAAUUUUGGGGGUUAGUACGUUGUUGAAUAACUGUUUUUGUACUGCUUAUAUAUCAACUUGGUCCACUCAUGUUUUGUUUUGCACCCCCUCAAGACUUAAAAUUGAGGCGUACAAUCCCGGCAUCAAGGCAUUCUCGCAUCGGCAUCUUCGAGUCUUCUUGGUGUAGGACCUAUCCCUUUUGUUCAUUAAAUUUUAUAUUAUUACUUUUAGUGUCUCGGAUUAGUUGUAUACUCUGAACACGUUCCUUAAUUGCAUAUUCAUUAUAGUUAAAUUUAUAAGUUUUAUUUAUAUUCGCAUUUCUUCAUUGUUCUCAUGCAUCUUAUUAUAGCUUCGUCACCUUCAGGUGUCAGCCAACACAUGUCUACCCUGAUCUUUGGAGGAUUUCAGGUUCGGGCGUGUCAUGUUGAUUCAUAAAUCAUAAAUCCCAUGAUCUUUGGCUUAUCAGUGCAACCUCGAGCGGCUCUACCCGUUGAGCAUCAUGCAUCUCAUAGCAAACCCGUGCCUAAGCUGACCAUUGAGGUAUCUACCUAUCCAAAAGCUAUUUCUUUGCAAGUUACAUACCUCAUAAUGACAUUUAGUAAAAAACGAGGAUGCUCACUCAACUUCUUGCUCAUCUCAAUCUCGUAAGAGAUCUUGAUCUUGGCUCGCCAAACCAAAUAGAGUUUGAAU